UAUUGGUGUAAAAGUUCUGGGACAGC
rnacentral:piRNA from 1 species